AGACUCCUACGGGAGGCAGCAGUGGGGAAUAUUGCACAAUGGGGGGAACCCUGAUGCAGCGACGCCGCGUGAGCGAAGAAGUACCUCGGUAUGUAAAGCUCUAUCAGCAGGGAAGAAAAUGACGGUACCUGACUAAGAAGCCCCGGCUAACUACGUGCCAGCAGCCGCGGUAAUACGUAGGGGGCAAGCGUUAUCCGGAUUUACUGGGUGUAAAGGGAGCGUAGACGGCAGUGCAAGUCUGAAGUGAAAGGCGGGGGCUCAACCCCCGGACUGCUCUGGAAACUGUACGGCUGGAGUGCAGGAGAGGUAAGUGGAAUUCCUAGUGUAGCGGUGAAAUGCGUAGAUAUUAGGAGGAACAUCGGUGGCGAAAGCGCUUUACUGGACCAUUAUUGACGCUGAGGAACGAAAGCCAGGGGAGCAAAUGGGAUUAGAUACCCGAGUAGA
rnacentral:rRNA from 1 species